GCACAGCACUCCUACGGGAGGCAGCAGUGGGGAAUAUUGCACAAUGGGCGCAAGCCUGAUGCAGCCAUGCCGCGUGUAUGAAGAAGGCCUUCGGGUUGUAAAGUACUUUCAGCAGUGAGGAAGGUGGGUAUGUUAAUAGCAUAUUCAUUUGACGUUAGCUGCAGAAGAAGCACCGGCUAACUCCGUGCCAGCAGCCGCGGUAAUACGGAGGGUGCGAGCGUUAAUCGGAAUUACUGGGCGUAAAGCGCAUGCAGGUGGUUUGUUAAGUCAGAUGUGAAAGCCCGGGGCUCAACCUCGGAAUUGCAUUUGAAACUGGCAAACUAGAGUACUGUAGAGGGGGUAGAAUUUCAGGUGUAGCGGUGAAAUGCGUAGAGAUCUGAAGGAAUACCGGUGGCGAAGGCGGCCCCCUGGACAGAUACUGACACUCAGAUGCGAAAGCGUGGGGAGCAAACAGGAUUAGAUACCCGGGUAG
rnacentral:rRNA from 1 species